GGCCGACUAGCUCAGUUGGUUAGAGCGUGGUGCUAAUAUAUCUGGUUCCAAGGUACAGGAAACUCUGUUUACGCCAAGGUCGUCGGUUCGACCCCGGCGUUGGCCA